CUCGGCGGCGCGGCCAUGGCAGCCUCGCAGCGAGCGGCGACCCCGGCGGCCGCCCGCCUCCAGUCCCCGGGAGAUUCCAGCCCCGGAGCGCAGGCCGCCCAGUCCCAACGCGAAGACCCCUCGGAGGCUGCGACGGCGGCGGCCGCGGCCUUGAGGGACGAGGAAGACGGAGAGGAGGCGGCGCCGCGGGCGCAGGCGCGGGCUGAUUUUAACACCAACAUUUCUGAGGUAGAUGAACAAACACAAAUAAGCGAUGAGGACUUUGUGGACUUUUCUGAUAUUUGCCACUCUAAUGAAGAGUAUUUUAGGAAACUAGAAGAGCUGAAAGCUGCCCACUUGGAAACUAUGGCAAAGUUAGAGAAAAUGUACCAGAAUAAAUUAAAUUUAAAAGUUCAGCCAGUGAUCAUCAGAGAAGAAGCUUCUAGUGUCUCUUCCAGGUCUGAAUCAGAAAAGAACUCUUAUCACCCUAUCUCAUUAAUGACAUCUUCAGAGCCUGAUUUAGGGCCGUCUUCCUCCUUGAUUAUGUCUUCCUCUGAAGAUGAGUUGCCCAACUUAGAAAAAGAGUAUCCUGAGAAAAAGAGGGUAGUGAUGAGCUACGCAAAAGAGCUCAUCAACAACAUGUGGACAAACUUUUCUGUUGAAGAUUAUAUUCGGUGUGAAGAUGCUUACUUCCCAGCCGUUGAAAAAACAAAGAAGAAACCAAGAGAAUGGGUGCCAAAGAUUACGGUUCCUGAGCCUUUUCAGAUGAUGAUUAGGGAACAGAGGAAGAAAGAAGAGAACAUGAAAUCAAAAUCAGAUAUUGAAAUGGUACACCAACUGCUCAAAAAACAAGAAGAAGAAUCAGAGUGUAAGAAAAAAUUCCGAGCCACUCCAGUUCCUGCAUUUGUCUUUUUCCCCCUUUAUCAUGACCUAGUCAAGCAAAAUGAAGACCGCAGAAAGCGUUUGAAGGAAAAGAACAAAGAAGCUCUUCUGGCCUCACAAAAGCCAUUUAAGUUCAUUGCAAGAGAGGAACAGAAGCAAGCAAUCCGGGAAAAGAAGCUGAGAGACUUGUUUAAGUCUAAAAAGAAAACAAAUCGAUUUAAGGCCAGACCUGUGCCUCGAUCUACUUAUGGCUCAGCUACCAAAGAGAAGUUAAAAGAAGAGGAGCUCUAUAGAGACAUUAUGACACAGCUGAAAGCCCAAGAGCUCUUGCAGAAUCCAUCCCCUUUACCUUCUAGGUCAGGUCACAAAAGUUGUGCUCCAAGGAAGCUCAAGCGUCCUGAGCAGCCUGAAAGACUGAAGUGUACACACAAGUUUAGAUGCCAGAUUGCUGAUUUUGAAAAGCUUCCUGAGGGAUACCAGAAACACCUCUCAGAACAGAAGUGUUCAAAACUCCCAACCUCCCAUAAACCACCCAAUCUUCACGCAGCCUCCACUGCAUCCACUAAAAGAGAGAAAAUUUUGGCAGACAUUGCAGCAGAUGAGGAACAUUCAAAAGAAACACGGUCUUUUCUGUCUCCAAGAAACAAGUCACCAGGAAGAAGUGCAAGUGCAAAGCCUGUGCCUUGUAACUGCCCCCCUCCAAUGCCCACAGUGUCUUCCAGAGGGAGAGAACAAGCCACAAGGAGAUCACUUGAGGAAAAGAAAAUGUUGGAAGAAGAGAGAAAUCGGAUCCUAACUAAGCAGAAGCAAAGAAUGAAAGAAUUGCAGAAACUCCUGACAAUCCGGGCUAAAGCUUAUGACUCCCAUCAAAGUUUAGCUCAGAUGUCUAAAUCCAGAGUCAAAUCUCUCAGAAAGAGUGAAAAGGAAAGGAUGAGAGAAUACCAACAAGAACUAGAAGAAAGAGAAGAAAAAUUAAAAAACAGGCCGCUACUGUUUGAAAGAGUUGCUCAGAAAAAUGCAAGAAUGGCAGCAGAAAAGCGUUAUUCUAACACCCUAAAAGCAUUAGGACUAUCUGAUGAGUUUGUUUCAAAGAAAGGCCAAAGUGGAAAAGUAUUUGAGUACUUCAGCAAUCAAGAGAUGAAGAAUUUCACUGAAGAUAAAGAAAGAUUUGUCAGACUUCAACAAAUCUAUGUUCCCAGAGAAACAAUGAAAGAAGAGUGUCCAGGCGCUCCUGGUCCCAGAGGCUCCUUCAUCUCAGCGGGUGACCUGACCUCAUGUACAGGAAUCAAGGAGGCAAGCGGGCUUGACCAAUGGAACGUAGAAAAGGCCCACAGAGAUUCCUGGCUGAAUACAGACAAGCCCAUCAGGAGACCCACCUCAAAAUAUCUAGAGGUCCUAACCGAUCAAUGGGUUACUUACUACCAGGCACAGUCUCCCAAAAAGGAUCCACCUUUUCUUCUCUGGGACAGCUGGAGCUUUGAUUGGAAUAAAUAGCAGCUCGGAGGUGAUUACACUUUGACUCUUCCACACAGGGGUGUGACUUCAGUGGACAGAAGGUCAUAUGCCCAAAAGAAGAUUGAUUCUGCAGCCUCAUCUGUGCCCUGAGAGGCUGACUUAUAUGGACUGAGCACUGGGCUCCCUGCCUCCCAAUUUCUAUUUGGGUUCAGCGAAUGGGAGGGCGGAUGGGUACUGGUAAAGGUAGAAAACUGGUAAGAGAGUGAGGAAGGGGUGUUUAUGUCUUGGGCUUCCUGCCUGCUGCAUUGCCAUAGGUUGACCGUUUCCCUUUGCCCAAGUCACUGCUCCUGUUAGGUCGUCCUCACCAUGAAGUUCACUCUCAAGGGUUCAGCAGCCAUCCCUCCUCCUCGCCCUUUCAAGCAUAAGUGUGGAAAUUGCUCCCUGCUGUUACUAGACUUGGGACAUGAUACCAUCCUUUCUUU